rnacentral:misc_RNA from 1 species
AGAAUAGCUACAUCUGAAAAUUCAGACAUAAUUUGCACAUGGAUGGAUUGGAACAUGCAUCAGUUACUUUGGUUAAAUUCAACUCAGAUUGCUUUCAAAGAAGAUGAAUAUUACUAAGACUUAGCCUUACUGCAACUUGAUGUGCUUGAAUACAUAUACAUUCAGUUGCAGGACAAGGAAGUAUGAGGCCCAUGAAUAUAAAGCUCUAUGAUUUACAUAUCGCUAUGACAAAGCAUAAU